GAUGAACGCUGGCGGCGUGCCUAAUACAUGCAAGUCGAACGAAGCCUUCGGGCUUAGUGGCGGACGGGUGAGUAACACGUUGGUACCUGCCUCGAAGUGGGGAAUAACUGGCCGAAAGGCCGGCUAAUACCGCAGGUGAUCGCAAGAUCAAAGUCGUAAGACGCUUAGAGAGGGGCCUGCGUCCCAUUAGCUAGUUGGUAGGGUAAUGGCCUACCAAGGCGACGAUGGGUAGCUGGAUCGAGAGGUUGACCAGCCACACUGGGACUGAGAUACGGCCCAGACUCCUACGGGAGGCAGCAGUAAGGAGUCUUCCACAAUGACGAAAGUCUGAUGGAGCAACGCCGCGUGAAGGAUGACGGCCUUCGGGUUGUAAACUGCUUUUAUAUGGGAAGAUUAUGACGGUACCAUAUGAAUAAGGACCGGCUAACUACGUGCCAGCAGCCGCGGUAA
rnacentral:rRNA from 1 species